GUGCACCUACGGGGGGCAGCAGUGGGGAAUAUUGCACAAUGGGGGAAACCCUGAUGCAGCGACGCCGCGUGAGCGAUGAAGUAUUUCGGUAUGUAAAGCUCUAUCAGCAGGGAAGAAAAUGACGGUACCUGACUAAGAAGCCCCGGCUAACUACGUGCCAGCAGCCGCGGUAAUACGUAGGGGGCAAGCGUUAUCCGGAUUUACUGGGUGUAAAGGGAGCGCAGACGGCCAUUCAAGCCAGAUGUGAAAGCCCGGGGCUCAACCCCGGGACUGCAUUUGGAACUGUGUGGCUA
rnacentral:rRNA from 1 species